rnacentral:rRNA from 1 species
UCUACGGGAGGCAGCAGUGAGGAAUAUUGGUCAAUGGGCGGAAGCCUGAACCAGCCAAGUAGCGUGCAGGAUGACGGCCCUACGGGUUGUAAAAUGCUUUUAUACGGGAAGAACGCGCCUUACGUGUAGGGCUGUGCAUGUACCGGAUGAAUAAGGACCGGCUAAUGCCGUGCCAGCAGCCGCGGUAAAACGGAAGGUCCGGGCGUUAGCUGGAUUUAUUGGGUUUAAAGGGAGCGUAGGCCGCAUGUCAAGCGUGUGGUGAAAUGUCCGGGCUCAACCCGGGCCUUGCAGCGCGAACUGGCGUGCUUGAGUCCGCGGAAAGCAGGCGGAAUUCGUCGUGUAGCGGUGAAAUGCUUAGAUAUGACGAAGAACCCCGAUUGCGAAGGCAGCUUGCUGCAGCGGAACUGACGCUGAUGCUCGAAAGCGCGGGUAUCGAACAGGAUUAGAUACCCGAGUAGUC